rnacentral:rRNA from 1 species
UACGUAGGUGGCAAGCGUUGUUCGGAUUUACUGGGCGUAAAGGGCGCGUAGGCGGCCCGCUAAGUCGAACGUGAAAUCCCCGAGCUCAACUCGGGAACUGCGUCCGAUACUGGCGGGCUUGAAUCCGGGAGAGGGAUGCGGAAUUCCAGGUGUAGCGGUGAAAUGCGUAGAUAUCUGGAGGAACACCGGUGGCGAAGGCGGCAUCCUGGACCGGCAUUGACGCUGAGGCGCGAAAGCUAGGGGAGCAAACGGGG